AUACCUUUUGAAUUGGCUAAAAUCAAGUGUAGUAUAUGUUUUUAUCAGUUUAAUAUCUGAUAUCAGGGUUAAUCUAGUAUCUGUUUAUAAUUACUUUCUUAACAUAUUGAAGCACA
rnacentral:snRNA from 1 species